rnacentral:misc_RNA from 1 species
AGCAAGUUUGUAUAUAACAUUUGCACGACAGUCGAUAUUUUUAUUGAAAGGUUGUAUGGAUUUCAGGGUAAACUAAUAAAUAUAAUGUCUCCCUUUUAUUCGCAGCGAUUGGGACAAUCUCAACUCUCAAUAUUCAAAAAUCAAAAGAUUUUCAACUGAAACCAUUUCUCUCUUUGAUUACUUUCUAUGAUCAUCUGGGAGCAAAUCCAUUUCUUGCAUUUGAUGUUCAACUGAAAC